rnacentral:rRNA from 1 species
AUUGAACGCUGGCGGCAUGCCUUACACAUGCAAGUCGAACGGUAACAGGUCUUCGGAUGCUGACGAGUGGCGAACGGGUGAGUAAUACAUCGGAACGUGCCCGAUCGUGGGGGAUAACGAAGCGAAAGCUUUGAUAAUACCGCAUACGAUCUACGGAUGAAAGCAGGGGACCGCAAGGACUUGCGCGAACGGAGCGGCCGUGGGCAGAUUAGGUGGUUGGUGGGAUAAGGCUUACCAAGCCGACGAUCUGUAGCUGGUCUGAGAGGACGACCAGCCACACCGGGACUGAGACACGGCCCAGACUCCUACGGGAGGCAGCAGUGGGGAAUUUUGGACAAUGGGCGAAAGCCUGAUCCAGCCAUGCCGCGUGCAGGAUGAAGGCCUUCGGGUUGUAAACUGCUUUUGUACGGAACGAAAAGACUCUGGUUAAUACCUGGGGUCCAUGACGGUACCGUAAGAAUAAGCACCGGCUAACUACGUGCCAGCCGCCGCCGUAA